UACAGAGGGUGCAAGCGUUAAUCGGAUUUACUGGGCGUAAAGCGUGUGUAGGUGGCCGCGUAAGUCGAUUGUGAAAUCCCUGGGCUCAACCUGGGAAUUGCAGUCGAUACUGCGUGGCUCGAGUUCGGUAGAGGGCAGCAGAAUUCCCGGUGUAGCGGUGAAAUGCGUAGAUAUCUGGAGGAAUACCGGUGGCGAAGGCGGCAUCCUGGACCGAGAUUGACACUAAAGCGCGAAAGCCAGGGGAGCAAACGGG
rnacentral:rRNA from 1 species